GACCGUGUAGAUUAUUUUUUAAAUCCUGAGGCUGUUAACCUUGAGAAGAGUCCCUGGAGAUUCUGCGGUC
rnacentral:tRNA from 1 species